rnacentral:rRNA from 1 species
UGGGGAAUAUUGCACAAUGGGCGCAAGCCUGAUGCAGCCAUGCCGCGUGUGUGAAGAAGGCCUUCGGGUUGUAAAGCACUUUCAGCGAGGAGGAAGGGUUCAGUGUUAAUAGCACUGUUCAUUGACGUUACUCGCAGAAGAAGCACCGGCUAACUCCGUGCCAGCAGCCGCGGUAAUACGGAGGGUGCAAGCGUUAAUCGGAAUUACUGGGCGUAAAGCGCACGCAGGCGGUUUGUUAAGUCAGAUGUGAAAUCCCCGCGCUUAACGUGGGAACUGCAUUUGAAACUGGCAAGCUAGAGUCUUGUAGAGGGG